GGAACGUGAGUUCAAGAGCAUCUUUCACUUUUGUUGGUCUUCUCCAGCGGUUGAUCGGCCGGCAGCACUGAGGAUCAACUUCAAAAUAACACAAAGGAGGUUGCGUAAGUUCCAUAACUUACAAGCUUGGGAAGAAGAGCUUCUCUUCCUUUCCCGCUCCAGCAGGAUUCUGAGAUCACCACGCAUGACAUGGCUCGCCGUAUGUCGGAUCUGUCAUCUCUAAUUUCUGAAUGGCGUACGCGUGAUGAGAUCCGCCGGCGCGCGUGUUCCCGAAUCACAUGGUUAAAGCUUCAGGAUCAGAACAAUCGCUUCUUCCAUUGCAUGGCCUCCAUGAGUUUUCGCAAGUCUAAGAGGGGCAGACUUCUGCGGAAAUGUUGGCUGUUUUCAACUUGGAGAGGCAUUUGGUUGCUAAGUUAUGAUGUUAUUUUCCGUGAAAGAAAGCACCAUGAGACGAUCCAUGAAAGGGCAACCUCAUCCCCAUGAAGUGCAUGGUUGCAUUAGGAGGCGGCGGCUCAACAUAAUGAAGCAAUAUUCCAACUUCCUGAAGACAUAAGAGAUGAGCUAUCUCUAAAUGAUGUCUUGUCAUGGGUGAUGGGACCAGACAAAUUUGGACGAGUGCAUACUUAUGGAAUGAGGGUAAGGCAUAGGAUCCAAUCUAAGCCAUGCCAACCGGGCAAGGAGGUGCAAGUAGCACUGGUAUUGCCUUCUUUAUCGUACCAGAGAUGGUGUUCUGCUGAUAUGUAGCUCUUUUGGUUGAGAAUCUGCCUUCGAGUCCAGAAUUCUCAAGGGGACUGCCUUUGCAGCACUAACUUGCAUCUUUGUUGUGGAUUCCUUCAAACUGAGAGUGAGCCCUAUAAAAAUUGUCUUCUCCACAACGUCAAUGCAGAUCUCAAUGAUGAUCUCUUCUUUAGCAUAGCAAACCACACUUUCGUUGUGGUGGAAGCUGAUGCUAC